GAUAAGUAAUGUGAAUUGCAGAAUUCAGUGAAUCAUCGAAUCUUUGAACGCACCUUGCGCCCUUUGGCAUUCCGAAGGCACACCUGUUUGAGUGUCGUGA
rnacentral:rRNA from 1 species